AGAUUGAACGCUGGCGGCAUGCCUUACACAUGCAAGUCGAACGGCAGCACGGGAGCAAUCCUGGUGGCGAGUGGCGAACGGGUGAGUAAUAUAUCGGAACGUGCCCAGUAAUGGGGGAUAGCCCGGCGAAAGCCGGAUUAAUACCGCAUACGACCUACGGGUGAAAGCGGGGGAUCGUAAGGCCUCGCGUUAUUGGAGCGGCCGAUAUCAGAUUAGCCUGUUGGCGGGUAAAAGCCCACCAAGGCAACGAUCUGUAGCUGGUCUGAGAGGACGACCAGCCACACUGGGACUGAGACACGGCCCAGACUCCUACGGGAGGCAGCAGUGGGAAUUUGGACAAUGGCGCAAGCCUGAUCCAGCCAUGCCGCGUGUGGGAAGAAGGCCUUCGGGUUGUAAACCUACUUUUGUCAGGAAGAAACGGCUACUUACUAAUAUUAGGAGCUAAUGACGUACUAGAAGAAUAAGCAACCGGCUAACGUACCGUGUACC
rnacentral:rRNA from 1 species